AUUGAACGCUGGCGGCAGGCCUAACACAUGCAAGUCGAACGAGUGGCAGACGGGUGAGUAAUGUCUGGGAAACUGCCUGAUGGAGGGGGAUAACUACUGGAAACGGUGGCUACUACCGCAUACCAUCAGAUGUGCCCAGAUGGGAUUAGAUUGUUGGUGGGGUAACGGCGUACCAAGGCGACGAUCCCUAGCUGGUGUGAGAGGAUGACAAGCCAAACUGGAAAGUAGACACGGUCCAGACUCCUCCGGGAGGCAGUAGUGGGGAAUAUUGCACAAUGGGCGCAAGCCUGACGCAGCCAGGCCGCGGGUAUGAAGAAGUCCUUCGGGUUGGAAAGUACUUUCAGCGGGGAGGCGUUACCCGCAGAAGAAGCACCGGCUAACUCCGUGCCAGCAGCCGCGGUAAUUC
rnacentral:rRNA from 1 species